AAAAGAAAACCCUGCAAAUAAUUUUGCAGGGUCCUUCCAUCUCCUUUAUAAGGAAAGAAGGCAAAGGGAGAGGAGAAACCGGAGGAAGAACUUAUGGGGAAACGUAAGUCUUCUCCGCG
rnacentral:ncRNA from 1 species